UACGUAGGUGACCAGCGUUGUCCGGAUUUACUGGGCGUAAAGAGCGCGCAGGCGGUCGUUCAAGUCGAGUGUGAAAGCCCCCGGCUCAACUGGGGAGGGUCAUUCGAUACUGAUCGACUCGAAGGCAGGAGAGGGAAGCGGAAUUCCCGGUGUAGUGGUGAAAUGCGUAGAUAUCGGGAGGAACACCAGUGGCGAAGGCGGCUUCCUGGCCUGUUCUUGACGCUGAGGAGCGAAAGCGUGGGGAGCAAACAGG
rnacentral:rRNA from 1 species